GACGUAGGGCGCGAGCGUUGUCCGGAUUUAUUGGGCGUAAAGAGCUCGUAGGCGGCUUGUCGCGUCGACUGUGAAAACCCAUGGCUCAACCAUGGGCUUGCAGUCGAUACGGGCGGGCUAGAGUUCGGUAGGGGAGACUGGAAUUCCUGGUGUAGCGGUGAAAUGCGCAGAUAUCAGGAGGAACACCGGUGGCGAAGGCGGUUCUCUGGGCAUUACCUGACGCUGAGGAGCGAAAGUGUGGGGAGCGAACAGG
rnacentral:rRNA from 1 species